AUAAAUUGAAUAACGACUACUUAUUUAUGCUGUGAAUUGGCGCAGCGUCUCUACAAGACACCUUAAUGUCUAACAAUAAGUAAGCUUUUAAGCUUG
rnacentral:ncRNA from 1 species